rnacentral:rRNA from 1 species
GACGUAGGGCGCGAGCGUUGUCCGGAUUUAUUGGGCGUAAAGAGCUCGUAGGCGGCUUGUUGCGUCGACUGUGAAAACCCGCGGCUUAACCGCGGGCUUGCAGUUGAUACGGGCAGGCUAGAGUUCGGUAGGGGAGACUGGAAUUCCUGGUGUAGCGGUGAAAUGCGCAGAUAUCAGGAGGAACACCGGUGGCGAAGGCUGGUCUCUGGGCCGAUACUGACGCUGAGGAGCGAAAGCGUGGGGAGCGAACAGG